rnacentral:lncRNA from 1 species
GAGACCCCAGUAUCCGAUCUUUUGAGUCGAGACCAUUGGAGGGAGAUAGCUGGAUAUGGUGAGGAGAGAUUGUCCACUGUUUUGGUCACAGGCUCUGUUCUUUGUGAAGCUUGUUUGCAUGGUGAUGAACCUCAAGUUCAUGCAUGGCCUAUUAAAGGUACUACCAGCUAACUUCUUAUUUGAAGAACAAAAAAAAACACCAAUAAAAUCAAGCUUUGUUUUUACCUUUCUGAUGAUAUUAUACAAACCAAAUCAAUCACUGCAGGUGCUAUGGUGGGUGUGAAUUGCCACAACACUGGAAAAAACAGCAAAUCUUCUGAUUGGGUACAUGGAGUCACGGAUGAAUUUGGGGACUUUGUUAUUGAUAUUCCAUCCCAUCUUCAUGCAACCCGAAGCUUCGAAAAUGUCUGUU